rnacentral:piRNA from 1 species
UGCCUUCCGAGUGCUGGGAUUAAAGG